AUGCUACUAGCUGGCAAUGCCGAGCGACCCCCACGAAUCUCGAGGAGUUCGAUCGUUCGUGCAACUUUAGUUGGGCUUCCGGCAGUUGUUGCGGAUCUCGCCGUUGGAUCCGGUGAGCGGGCUGAUGUUGCCCAUCUUGAUCAUGGCGGUGACGAAGUCGGCCGAGAAGGCCCCGCCGUUGCCGGCGUACUGCUGCGCGAUGGAGUCCACGGGCCCGCCGUUGAAGAGCUCCUGGUCCGAGUGGAGGAGGCCGAAGCGGCUCAGCAGGUUGCGGAAGUAGCCGUUGUCGAAGCGCACGGAGCUGAAGGCGUCCAGCGGCGCCAGGUUGCCGUCGCCCACGCCGCCCUGCGCCGGGCACACCUGCCGCCGCCGCGUCGCGAACCCGGCGUUGAUGUUGCUGUCGUUGUACACGCGCGACCGGAAGCUGGCGCACCGCGCCGCGCCGAUCGUGUGCGCGCCGGAGAGCGCCACCAUGUCGCGGGAGUCCAGCCCCUUGGACGCGAACGCCGAGAUCAGCGUCGCCGCGCUCGACGACGGCGACGGCAGGUUGCUGUUCGCCGCUGCCUGAGUCGUCGUGCGCGCGUCCCGCCGACCCAGCGGCACCCCCCACGACGGCCCGCCCAGCUGCACAUGCACGCACGUACGUCAUCAUCAUGUGAACAAAUAGCCACAUGUGGUAAUCAAGCAAGUACGGAUAGUAACUACGUGCAUGCUCAUAUACUGAGCAAUUAUUCAUACACGACAAAAUUGAUAGAUCAACUAGCUCAAAAGAAGGUGAACUUAGUUUGUUUCCUUUCACUCCUGUUUAAGUUAUAG
rnacentral:rRNA from 1 species